rnacentral:rRNA from 1 species
AGAGUUUGAUCNUGGCUCAGGAUGAACGCUAGCGGCAGGCCUAAUACAUGCAAGACGAACGGCAAGAAUGAUAGCAAUAUUGUUCCUAGAGUGUCGUAAGGGUGCGUAACACGUAUGCAAUCUGCCCUCAACAGGAGGAUAGCUCCCCGAAAGGGGAAUUAACACUCCAUAAGAUCAUGGUGCGGCAUCGCACAGUGAUUAAAACUACGGUGGUUGAGGAUGAGCAUGCGCAUGAUUAGUUAGUUGGCGGGGUAAUGGCCCACCAAGACGAUGAUCAUUAGGGGAACUGAGAGGUUGAUCCCCCACACUGGCACUGAGAUACGGGCCAGACUCCUACGGGAGGCAGCAGUAGGGAAUAUUGGACAAUGGGUGCGAGCCUGAUCCAGCCAUGCCGCGUGCAGGAAGACGGCCUUCUGGGUUGUAAACUGCUUUUGCCAGGGGAUAAAACGUCCAUGCGUGGAUAAUUGAAGGUACCUGGUGAAUAAGCCACGGCUAACUACGUGCCAGCAGCCGCGGUAAUACGUAGGUGGCAAGCGUUGUCCGGAUUUAUUGGGUUUAAAGGGUGCGUAGGCGGUUUUAUAAGUCAGUGGUGAAAUACAAUAGCUUAACUGUUGAGGUGCCAUUGAUACUGUAAGACUUGAGUACAGACGAGGUAGGCGGAAUUGACGGUGUAGCGGUGAAAUGCUUAGAUAUCGUCNAGAACACCGAUAGCGAANGCAGCUUACUAGACUGUAACUGACGCUGNNCACGAAAGUGUGGGGAUCAAACAGGAUUAGAUACCCUGNAGUCCACACUGUAAACNAUGAUUACUCGAUGUUGGCNAUACACAGCCAGCGUCUUANCGAAAGCGAUAAGUAAUCCACCUGGGGAGUACGCCCGCAAGGUGAAACUCAAAGGAANUGANNGGGUCCGCACAAGCGNNGGANCAUGUGGNUUAAUUCGAUGA